rnacentral:tRNA from 1 species
GGAGAUGUAGCUCAGUGGUAAAGCGUUCGCUUCGCUUGUGAAAGGUCCGGGGUUCAAAUCCCCACUACUCCA